UAUGAAUUAACAACUUGCAGUUCCUUGUUAUCAUAGUAAAAAUUAGUGUCUACUGGUCUAAAUCCAUUUCUAAAUACCACUACUUUGGUUUUAUCAGCGUUUACUUCGAUAUUCCAUUUAUUGCAGUAAAGUAAAAGUUUAUCAAAUAAGUGUUGCAGAACAGUCGGUGUUUUUCCAAAUAAAACGGUGUCGUCAGCAAAAAGUAUUAAAUAUAUAAGAAUUCCAUUCAAAGAUAUGACAUCUUCG
rnacentral:lncRNA from 1 species